GAUGAACGCUGGCGGCGUGCCUAAUACAUGCAAGUCGAGCGAACGGACGAGAAGCUUGCUUCUCUGAUGUUAGCGGCGGACGGGUGAGUAACACGUGGAUAACCUACCUAUAAGACUGGGAUAACUUCGGGAAACCGGAGCUAAUACCGGAUAAUAUUUUGAACCGCAUGGUUCAAAAGUGAAAGACGGUCUUGCUGUCACUUAUAGAUGGAUCCGCGCUGCAUUAGCUAGUUGGUAAGGUAACGGCUUACCAAGGCAACGAUGCAUAGCCGACCUGAGAGGGGGAUCGGCCACACUGGAACUGAGACACGGUCCAGACUCCUACGGGAGGCAGCAGUAGGGAAUCUUCCGCAAUGGGCGAAAGCCUGACGGAGCAACGCCGCGUGAGUGAUGAGGGUCUUCGGAUCGUAAAACUCUGUUAUUAGGGAAGAACAUAUGUGUAAGUAACUGUGCACAUCUUGACGGUACCUAAUCAGGAAGCCACGGCUAACUACGUGCCAGCAGCCGCGGUAAUACGUAGGUGGCAAGCGUUAUCCGGAAUUAUUGGGCGUAAAGCGCGCGUAGGCGGUUUUUUAAGUCUGAUGUGAAAGCCCACGGCUCAACCGUGGAGGGUCAUUGGAAACUGGAAAACUUGAGUGCAGAAGAGGAAAGUGGAAUUCCAUGUGUAGCGGUGAAAUGCGCAGAGAUAUGGAGGAACACCAGUGGCGAAGGCGACUUUCUGGUCUGUAACUGACGCUGAUGUGCGAAAGCGUGGGGAUCAAACAGGAUUAGAUACCCUGGUAGUCCACGCCGUAAACGAUGAGUGCUAAGUGUUAGGGGGUUUCCGCCCCUUAGUGCUGCAGCUAACGCAUUAAGCACUCCGCCUGGGGAGUACGACCGCAAGGUUGAAACUCAAAGGAAUUGACGGGGACCCGCACAAGCGGUGGAGCAUGUGGUUUAAUUCGAAGCAACGCGAAGAACCUUACCAAAUCUUGACAUCCUUUGACAACUCUAGAGAUAGAGCCUUCCCCUUCGGGGGACAAAGUGACAGGUGGUGCAUGGUUGUCGUCAGCUCGUGUCGUGAGAUGUUGGGUUAAGUCCCGCAACGAGCGCAACCCUUAAGCUUAGUUGCCAUCAUUAAGUUGGGCACUCUAAGUUGACUGCCGGUGACAAACCGGAGGAAGGUGGGGAUGACGUCAAAUCAUCAUGCCCCUUAUGAUUUGGGCUACACACGUGCUACAAUGGACAAUACAAAGGGCAGCGAAACCGCGAGGUCAAGCAAAUCCCAUAAAGUUGUUCUCAGUUCAGAUUGUAGUCUGCAACUCGACUACAUGAAGCUGGAAUCGCUAGUAAUCGUAGAUCAGCAUGCUACGGUGAAUACGUUCCCGGGUCU
rnacentral:rRNA from 1 species